rnacentral:lncRNA from 1 species
UGCAAUUUUUACACCACUGUGAUCACCGUCUUUUUCUCUACAGGUUGACCGAAGCAAAACAUCAAACCGCGACUCGCGCUGGAGAAGCCACCGCACCCGAGAGCUCUGCCGCCGGUAAGUCUCAGUUUUUCGUAAUUUUUUGGCCCACCGAGGGCCCUAGGGUUGUUUUAUCACAGGAACCAAUGCAAGUUUCGCCGAAUUCGGCCGAAAACGGCCAUCCCGAGGCGGAUCGCCGCCACGGGCGGCGGUGCCGUCGCUGGAGCUCGGCAGAGCCGCCGUGCUGAAAUUUUAAUAUUGACUAAAAUGGGGCCUUGGGUCU